CGUGCUGGUGCUGUCUGCGGACUUCAAAUCCGUUGUGGGGUGCGAGAAGCGCUCCGGGCAGGUUCGAUUCCUGUGCGCUUCC
rnacentral:tRNA from 1 species